AUGGGUUCUUGUGAUCUCUGCCACCUUAACUAUAGGGUCAUCACCCUCAUCCCCCAGGUCCCUAGCGCGGCGGAUAUCCGCCAAUUCCGCCCCAUCAUAGUGAUCAAUGUGAUCUUCCGCAUCCUAGCAAAGGGGUACGCCAAUAGGGUGACCCCUUUGGCCAACCGCAUCACUCAUCCGGAUCAGUCGGCCUUCAUACAUGGACGUUUCAUCCUUGAUGGAGUCCUUGUCUUUCACGAGGUCCUCCAUGAGGCCCGGUCCAAACACCUCAAGGUUGUCUUCCUGAAGAUUGACUUCCAUAAAUCCUAUGACACGGUCAGUUGGCCCUUCCUUCGGGAAGUAUUG
rnacentral:rRNA from 1 species